CAAAUAGAAUUAGCAAGAGAACCGACUAUUCUUUAUUUUCAAUUAAUUUAUUUUCACUGUUCAGACGUGCUUUGUAAAAUCGUUCUUUAAAGUUGAGCUAAACGGCUCGUACAGCUGAUUAAUUAUUCGCUAAUUUAACCCUUAGCACUCCAGGUUCUUUUGUAAUCUAUCAGCAACUGCUAAUUUUUAUAGUAUUCCUAGCGAAAAUGAGAAAUGCUAUAAUUUGCUUAGUGCGAAAUUCGGAUGCGUGGAAAAUCGAAUAAUUUUAGGGUAGUUUCUUUAAGAUUCAUUAAAAUAUUUAUUAUAACUGGUGCAAUAUUGGAGCCUACGGAGUUCAAAGGGUUAAGAUGAAAUGCCAGCUAGCUUGAUGAAUAUUCAUAAGGAAAGUCCAACUUAGUUUCGUUUUCGUUUGUUUCAGAGAGAUCUAUAAUGAUACAAAGCACGUUCUUUCAGCCGUUUGUCGGGCAGUUUGGCAACAGUAAUAUUUUCACGAAGAUCGGUUUGGAAAUCAGGUCACGCUUCUUUCUAAACCAACAUGAAGAAACCAGGAUUAUCUUGGCGAGAUAAGUGCAAACAUUUCUUUUCAGCGCACAAUGGGCAUGGUUGAUGCAACCCGCCUUGUUCAAACGAAACCGUGAGUCCACAUUAUCUAAAUGUAUUUCUUGCAUACAAUGCGCCCAACGAAAGGAUCCUCUUAAUUAUGCAAUUCGCGUUUCUACUAUUUUUAUCAAACGCUAAUCAUAUUUCAAUUUUUGUCGAAACUUUAACCAUUGGAAAUCAUUCGUUCAGUUUGAAUAAUUCGACAUUGUUCCAUCAUUUCAAUAAUUGGACGUUUCUUUUAAUGCUAAUUGGAAAUUUCAGUGUUGCUGGAUGAACGUUGCAGAUAAUUCCAAGAUUCGCGAGGAAUUGGAGAGGGAUCGAGAUAAAAACGUGACAAAGAGACGUUUCCCCGAGUCAACGAGGAGAGAGUUUCUCUUUUGGGUGGCAUCGAUGUAACGACACCGUUGACGAACUUUCAUGCCGCUUUUUCUGCACACAAGAGGAAAGUGUCGACCGGCUAAUGAAUCAACUUUGAACCGCGUAAAAGUGGCGAAGCGAACCACUCCCUUAUCCGUAAGCGAACCUCGCUUCUCUGUGGUCGUGCGAAUCGAUGAUUGAACCGAUAAUUAUCCACGCCGCCUUCUACGGUUGAUACACCGCGUAAUGGUUGCUUCUAAUUAACUCAAAGCAGUUCUUUUCAACCCGUCUUCGACUCCAAAUCAAAGCUUUUAAGAAAUACAUUCAUCGUGAAGAGUAGAUAUUUUUAUAAAAACUGAUAUUCUGUAAAAAAAACAGAUGCUGUUACACGUCUGACGUGUGAUCUGGAAAGGAUCGAUCUAGAAUCAUCAAUCUCAGAAUGAAGGAUCUCAGAAACGAAGAACUGAAUAGUAAUUUCCCAUUCGUUCCCCAACUAAUUGGGACCGAGAAGCUUUCCAACAAUAAAAAUGCGAGGAGCAAAGCCAUUCACCUGCCAAAGCGACGAGCUACAUACUACAGAAAAUAGGAAAUUAAAUGAAACUACAUGGAAGUAAUGAAACGUUACCGCAAUUAACAAGCAAUGAAUGUACUUUGGCUAAUUGAACGACGGAAAAAAGGAGACGCGUCACUGGUUCGUAUAAUCGAGGUGGUCUACUCUAUUAACCGUUCCGUCCACCGGAAGCCGGCGCACUCGGUUGCUUCCGUCCGAAACACUACUCACCUUGCCUCACUUGUCUGUCUUUCUCUGUUUGUUAUCACGAAACGGCGGAACGACGAAACGACGGACCUGCGGGUCGAAGAAAGAGUUCAACGGUGAAAGAAACCUGGCCACUGAUAGAAUAUGAAGAGACGGGCACCGUCGCCGUCGAUUAUAUAGAAAUGGUCCCCACCAGCCGGAGGACUCGUCCCACUCUGAAUCACAAGGACCCAUCUCUACUCUUCUCUCUUCUUUUCUUUGCUUCGCGGCUCGACCGUAGUCGUAAUUAGUCUAUAAUAAUAUUAUAAUUGCCGAUCGAGCCUCACGUGACGCGUCCCAACAAGCGAGACUGACUUUUAUCCGAUCGGACGACCCUCGAGUCGCUGAAGGGUUGCUGUCGACCAAACGCACGUUCUCCGACAACAUACGAGGAACGGCCGUUAUGCAAUGUAACCAUUCGGUCACUGUCCAUAAUUCCAUGGCCACCUUGUCCUCUCUACUAUUGGAGAGUAAAAUGGAGGAGACCGACCGAUAACAUUCGAAUUUUAAAAAAGGAUAACUGCUUCUCCGUGAUUCGU